CCGGGCGCUGUGGCGCGCGCCUGUAAUCCCAGCUACUUGGGAGGCUGAGGCUGGAGGAUCGCUUGAGCUCAGGAGUUCUGGGCUGCAGUGCGCUAUGCCGAUCGGGUGUCCGCACUAAGUUCGGCAUCAAUAUGGUGACCUCCCGGAAGCGGGGGACCACCAGGUUGCCUAAGGAGGGGUGAACCGACCCAGGUCGGAAACGGAGCGGAGUGUAGGGAUAGCGUGGUGGUGGGG